UCAAACAUUUGCUGCGGCAGGUAUUAUAUUAUAAAUCACGUUACUCGAUCGUUUCAAUUGAAGGACAGAUGUUCCUUUUCGCACAAGGCGGGGUGGGGGUCAAGAGGGUCGAAACGAGACGCCGUAUAACAGCGUAGUUGCCUGCUAACUUCGAAAGAAGGUAGAUGCGGUCCCUAACACAACUCAUAACAGCGUCGAAAAUCAGUGUGUACGUGAGAGUUUUAUUGUACCCUGUUAAAAAAACGGAAAAAUGGAGACGGGAAAAUCCGAGAGUGAUCCGGGCCGUUCGCAUGAAAGUUAUGAGAUCGAAGAAGAUUCGAUACACAGUGAAGUGUUGAAACAACAAUUGAAAGAUGGAUUGAUAUAUUUUGAAACUUUCCUCCGUAACAGUAAUGUCAUCACAGCAGAACCAUCUUCAUCAAUCAACGAAGAAGCCAUGGUAAUAGGGGAAGAAAUGUUUCAGAAUACGUUGCAAAUGCUCGCCGAAAAAUCACUCGUUCUUGAUGAGGAACUGAUAGACAUUAAUGAAAUCGACGACAGUAGUGCCUACGAAGAAGUUGAAACGAGUCUCAUCGCCAACGAAUCAUCAGACGAAUACGAGCCGGACGAGAGGAAAAAAAAGAGUACGACUAUAUUCCUCUGGAUUACAAAGUUAGAGCUGUCACUCUGGCCAAAGAACAUCCAAGCUGGACUCUCAAAACUCUACAACAAAAUGGGUGCUCUCGUUUGAAAAAUAUGAUCUAUUUAUCCAGGUGGGAAGAGCAAAAAAAAAAAGUGACGGUAGCAAAUUUGAUAAAUAUUGUACCGUCGAUUCAUGGACACAUGAUGGCUUCGUAGAAGCUCGACAAAACUUCCAGCAAAUUACGACCAGAAACUUGCAGCAGUGGGCCUUGGGCGCUGCAAGUCAGUUCCGAGAUUUCGAAUUCAAAGCUUCAAAAACAUGGGUCACCGAAUUUAAAAAGAAGCACCAGAUUCGGCAACGGAAAAUCACAAAAUUUGUUUCCCGGGAAGAGAUGGCUACCCAAGACGAAAUUUUGGCCGUAGCGGACACAUUUAGCAUCCAGACGCGAACGCUGAUACCGAACUUCGACAAAGAUUUUAUAAUUAAUACAGAUCAAAUUUCAGUUCACAAAUUUCAUAUGGCAUGAUAUAAUAUGAUUAUCAAGAGUCGCGGUAGCGACUCGAGACAAGCACAUUCUCUCGACAGCCCGCGACACUCUUUACUCCGCACAACUUGCUUAUACACAGGACUAUAUCUAUAUACAAAAAUUUAUUUUCCUCAUAACCAACGAAUUAUAGAGUCCCGAAAAAAAUACACCAGUGUAUAUUUUUUAUUUUUUUUUCUCUUCCGAUUGAGACUAUUACGAAGGCUGUUGCUAUAAGAAUAUCGCCGAUAUAGCUUCAUCACAUGAUCGACUUCGUUUCAUUCAUUAUUAUAGAAUUUCGUCGUCAUCGCACACUUUUUAUUAUUAUGAUUAUUUACGCAUGGAAGUCACCAUGACACCCGGCAACGAGACUGAAGCAGCCGCACGCCGUCGAUGCUGCAGAGUUCUUUUAGGGCUACACCAACAUGAUGAUCAUAAAUAUGACCUUGGUGGAUAAUACAGAUCGCACGUUCUCUGUUGUUUGCGUGUGUGCGGUGCUCGUAGGUGAGUUAGAACGUAGUUGCGAGGGCAUACCCACGCGGCAAAACGCUCGGCUCACGGACGCACGCACACCACACACCGUCAGCCACGAGCGGCUAACCCCAACGUUCCAACACACACUGGGUGGAUCAGGGUGCCAGUACCAGUCCACGUUCAACAGAACUCUCACAGAAAACGGGUCAAAGGCUGUCCUGGUAAACCGACACGACAUCAACAAGGUGACGCAGACGUAUACAGCACAAUAUUCAAUCACCAUGUCUGGACGAGUCUUGCCUCUUAUUUUCGUAUGCCUCCAAGAGUCUACAUGGCAGGUACGUUUGGACCCAGAGUGCAGAAGACGGUCAAUGAGUACGCCAAGAUGUAUAGCAACGUUGUUAUUACAUCUUCCAAAUCCGGUAAACUCACACCGGGUUUGUACAAGGACUUCUUGCGUAAUGCUUUGAAACCAUACGUACAAAACGAAAAAUUUCUCCUUCUGAUCGACUCUUGGGGUGAGCACACGAACCCGGAGUGGUACGAUGAGAUGUUUCAGGACGAUAAAAAGUUACCAACGUGCACUAUGAAGGUCAUUCCUCCAAAGUGCACUCCUCUCGUCCAACCGUGUGACGUAUACUUUUACCGGCAGGUAAAAAAUUUGAUCAAGCACCUUCAAAAUCGUGCUUUUUUAAUCGAGCGAGACCGUCAGAUCAAUUCCAGAGAAGAUUGUAUAAAAAUCCAAUCGAUCGUGCACCACCAGUUGUCUUCUUCGAUUUUUUCCGAUAUGAUACGAUACGCAUGGUUUGCAUCAAACCUGACGCACGAUAGAACAAUUUUUUUGAAUGUAAAUCAGGUGUGUUUUCCAACAGAUACUUUAAAAAACAAGUGUUUCUGUAAAAACGCAUCGUUUAUCAGAUGUGCUAGAUGUCAUGCUGUUUUAUGCUUUCCAUGUUUCUAUGAUAACUAUCACUCUGGUUCGUGCGACAUUCCGGCUACUUCUUGUCACUAAUUGUAAAUUAUCUGCAAGUUUAUACGGAACUUUUCAAUAAAUUGUACCCACUUGAAUUUUAUUUGUAA
rnacentral:misc_RNA from 1 species